rnacentral:lncRNA from 1 species
AGUUAAAACAAGAAAUUUAUUGAAAGCACCAUGAGCCACCAGGCCCCAUGCUUCUAAGCACAUCGAGGCUGCCUCACAACAGCCCUGUGAGGUAGGAACCUGAGCCCAUUUCACAGAUGUAGACUCAACAGUGAAGACUCAACAGCCUUUCUCCCAGCCCCCCAAGUCUCAGGGUCCAUGGGUAGGGAUCAAGGCCACAUGCCUGACCCCAGGGUCAGUGCAGUUCAUCAGUCAGUAGGUGGGUCUCUCUACUCAAGGGGAGGCCAGGGUCCAGAGUCUUGGGUCCAGCAUGUCCCACAGGAAAUGUGCAAGGCGUCCCCGUGGCUGUGGAGGCUGAGAGAGACACAGCUGCAGAUGAAGCCAUCUGCUCCCCAUCCCCGUGGCAGAUAAAGAGUUUUCAUGCACUAGGCAGGGUAGGAACUAGAGGACUGGGGAUGGAAUCCAACAUCAUGGAAAGAGCCUCGUGGGAAAUGUGAAUCUCAGACAGACAUUGACUGGGACACUCCGGGACUGGGAGACCUGGAAGGACACAGCCUCCUUGCUCCUCCCUCCAUGCCUUACCCUGCCAGGAAACCACUAGGUGGAUAGUGGGACACAAAGCAGAAGGGAGACCAUUCUGAGUGCAUGCCAGGAUCAGGCAGGGGUGAGCCUAAGACACUGGGCUUGCUGAGGUUUUAUUUGGUGGAGUGGAAAGAGUUAUUCACACAGGAAUGUGACUAUUGUCCCUGGUUCUCAGUCUGCCCAUCCAUAGAAUGGGAUCAUGCUGAGGACAACAGUAAAGUAUGUAAACCUAAGCUCAGUCCAAAGCAGAAUUUGGUGUAGAGAAAGCUAAUUUUUCUCAUCUCCUGGCAGGGGAAUAAAGGGGGAGGGGAGAGGAGAACAGCCACCCAGACCUACCAGCUAAAAGUGAGAGAGCAGUAAGAAAAAAUUCAAGGAUGUCAUUAUUUGGAAGCCCCUCUAUUGACCCUUGGUUCUUGGCACUGUCCCAGGGGGCAGAUAUGCACACACCACAUACACAGAAACACAAGCUUGAAGAAGCAUCUACCAACAGACACCACCCCUCCUAAUGCCCCGAAGCACAGUGGCCCAGCCAGCUUUGGCCUUCACAUAACCAGCAGCAUCAGCCACCAUGAUGGAAAGGAAGGGAAGGCCAGGGAACCACAGAGGGACUUAGACGCUAACAUGCAUGAAUGAACCACACCAGAUUUAGCCAGGACCACACAGCCAGC